ensembl:lncRNA
AUUUGAAGUGAGAUUUUUUUGCUAGUUUGUAAGUGAAAUAUUUACCUCUUGAUAUGUAGGGUAGACCUGGCAUUGAUGGAAAGAGAGGUCUGGCUGGAAAAGAUGUGAGCAUUUUUUUCUCUUUGUCAAAUAAUAUUGUGUUUUUUUUAUGUUCCUGCUCUGUUCCAGCAUUUUAAUAAGAUCACUUAAAAAAUACCCACAAAUACCCCAAAAUGAAGUCUUCCUAAUUAUUCUCUUGAGACAGGGAGAGCAAGGACAAAGAGGAGAUGAUGGCAAAAAGGUAUGAUUUGGAGCAAGUCUGGCUAUUCCCCAAACACACCAACACAAUAAACCAUAUUUGUGAUUUUGCGUCUCUAACCCUAGGGUGAUACAGGUGAAUCGGGAACUGAGGUAAGAUAUUUUAUUUUAAUAAGGCAGUAUUAAUUAGCAUCAAAUUAUUAACAUGAUAAUUAAGCCCAAUUGUUAAUUUCUCCUAUCUCCCCCCAGGGUAAAAAAGGGGAAUUGGGUGCUCCGGGCCCACCUGGUACCCAUGUUCUGGUUACUCAACAAGAGGGUGCCACCCUUGAAGAGAUGAGACAGGCAUUCCCUUUGCCAAUGGGACCUCCUGGGGCUAAAGGUCCACCAGGGAUGAAGGGUGACGCUGGUCUUCCAGGGAAAGCAGCUGACAUGAAGAACAUUGAAGUAAUGUUUGAAGACUAUGGCAUAAGGCUGCCCUUGCUGAAGGCACUGAUUGACAGGCUGCUGCAGGACGGCAUGGAGGAGCUUCUGCAGGAGCUAACCACCUCUAGGAGAGUCAAUGAGAAGGAGAAACACGGCUCCAACAUUAUCACUGACUACACAAGAACUGUAAAGUAUGAGAUCUCCAAGGAGCCUCUGACAGAGAUGGACACCAUAGAGGAGGCAGUUGACUCUGACCUAGACAGACAGCUACCAGAACCUAACUCUGAUGCUUUGAAUGAAACGGCGGAGGGCCCCACAUUCUGGAGCCUUACCCCUCUUAAUGGUCUUAAUGGGGUCCAAGACGUGGGGAGGAUAGAGAGCACCUCUAAGGGGAUAGAGGGGACACUGACAGUGGACGAGGACUUCAGUGAAGCUCCCUCGCCCAAGUUGCCUUUAUCAAACUCAACAUUUAACAACACAACGUCUGAAGAGAGGGUCUCUGAGGUACCAGGGGCAAUAGUAGAAAGUGUUCUCCUCAGUGGGGAAUACUCCUUGAAGAAAAAGAAGAGUCGAGAACGGAAGGGCAAGGGACAGAAAGGACGACAUAAGAGGCAACGCCUGACGAGUACAGAGGAGGAAGCGGAGGAGGAGGAAUUAUACGAUGGGGAUGAGUACAGUUAUGAAUAUGUGGAUUCCACAGAUGAUCCCUUACUGUCAAUGGAAAAGCAAGGGGAGUUUGAAAUCACAACAGAAAGCACACUACAUGGAAUGAGCAAAGAGAGUGGCCUGACAACUUUAGGUCCAUAUCCAUCCCAGUCACCGGGAGACAGUGAAAAGCAGGGAGAAUUCAUCACACCUAUCCUUCCCAGCACAACGGAAGAAACAGAGAAGGAUUCCACAGAUGAUCCCUUACUGUCAAUGGAAAAGCAAGGGGAGUUUGAAAUCACAACAGAAAGCACACUACAUGGAAUGAGCAAAGAGAGUGGCCUGACAACUUUAGGUCCAUUUCCAUCCCAGUCACCGGGAGACAGUGAAAAGCAGGGAGAAUUCAUCACACCUAUCCUUCCCAGCACAACGGAAGAAACAGAGAAGGCGGGACUAUCUCAUGUCCGGGUCAGAGUAAGGAAGAGCGCCCCCUGGCCAGAUUACAUGGUAAGUACACUGAAAAAAAAUAUUGAUUACCAUUCAAAUACAAUGUAAGAGUACAUCAUUUUUAGAAAACAAUGGCAUUUGCCAGAAAUAUUUGAGUCUUUGCUGUUUCAGGCAUACAUGCCAGGAACUGCCGGAGGACGAAAUCGAUACCAUGACAGACAAAAAGUAAACAGAUUUAUUUACUAGGGAUAUUUUUCUAUUACACUGAUAUCAACUACUCAUAGGUUGUUAUCAAAUCACCAGUUAGCGUGGAGGGAAUAGCACAGGGAAGGGGUUCAGAGAAGUUAUGACAUGGUCAAAUCAACAACGUGUGAACAUUCCCUCUUU